UAAAGAGAUAGAGGUUGCGCAAGUUAAUAGUACUUUGUUGGAUGAAGCAAAUCAGUUGAAGACAAAGGAAAGGGGCGAGCGCCGAAAGGAUUAUUUUUGCAAGAUAAUUCUUGGGCAUGAGGUUAAGAGCUUUAUGACUGUCAUCGUAAGAUGGAGUGCUAUCAUAGUU
rfam:Lachnobacterium bovis DSM 14045 genome assembly, contig: IE72DRAFT_scaffold00008.8